ensembl:lncRNA
GUGAGGUUGUGCUGAAAACAAUGAUACCAAACACGGCAAAGUAAAUCGUUUUUAAAGGUGAAAUGUAGACGAAACAUCAAAAGUAGUUAAAAAUGGCCAAUUACACCCUGGACCCCAGAGGGUUAAACUUUUUUUUUUUGUUUAAGUAAUGCAAUAGUUACUUUUCAAGUAAUUAAUUACUUUUAGAAUAUUGUAACUCAGUUACAAUAUUCUAACAGUUUUUUGAAGAAGUAACUAGUAACUAUAAUUAAUUACUUUUUCAAAGUAACUUGCCCAACACUGGUCCCUAACAAUAUAUCAAUCAUAAAAUUUGAAGGUAUAGAACCUCAUUUGGUUUUUCUGCUCCAUGCCAGUGCCUUCACAGUCUCUUCUGUAGAGCAGCCAGGUGGUAACGAUGAUCAUGUCCAGAAAGUGGAACACCAGCUGGUGGUACCAUGUCUUGAAUCUAACUGCGGUAGAGUGCAAUCAGUGAGUCAAGCAGGUCCACCCCAACCAUAGUCUUGUUAUAUUCUUGCACCACAGCAGGGCAGGGGACAGUGAUGUGUUUCUUCUGCUUGCAAUUCCACCUGUUAUGAUAAUAAUAGUCUGUCUGAAGAACGAGAGACAGAUUUUAUGUUAUAAGCUUCAUGUUAUGGAUGCACAGUGUGAGCACUUAAUAAAGUGUAAGUGUUUUUUCUCCCACUGUUGCAAAAGUGGUUGCUGAAAGAGGGUCGUCUGAAUGUUUCUCCAUGAAGCACAUUGAGGUAAAUGUUGUUGGGGCUCCUCCUGUGAUGAUGAGGAGCUCCUCCUGUGAUGAUGAUGAUGAUGAGGAACUCUUCCUGUGUUGAUGAUGAGGAGCUCCUCCUGUGAUGAUGAUGAUGAUGAGGAACUCUUCCUGUGUUGAUGAAGAGGAGCUCCUACUGUGCUGAUGUUGCUCUGUUUAAUGUAGGAGGUCGGGGAGCAGACCUGUGGAGCUGUGGGGGUGACAGCUGAGACGGAGCGUCUACCUCUGCUGUGAGUCUCCUUCAUGUUUCUCCACAUGUAUUUCCACCACUGGAGGGCGCUGUGGGUUAUUGAUGUGUGGGAACAGUAACCAAUCACUGCAGUCUGCAUGGUUCUCUUUGGUCAUGUGACCAUUUGAUCUCUGAUCAGUGUGUUCUUCAGUUUCAGGCCUGUUUCUGCUGACUGCUGCAGGUGAGCUGAUGUUCCUACACCUGUCGGUCCUCAUGAUGACCGCUGACCUUUGGUGACCUUUAGUGACCUCUGUUCUCCUGUUGCAGGUGUGUGUGUGCUGCUGCUGUCCUCUCUGGCUGUUCCUACAGGUGAGUUGAUGAUAAGGAAAAAACACUAAUAAAUGAAAGAGGAGGAGGGAGGAAAGUCCUCCUCCCUCAUUAGAGGAGCUCUGACAAGAUGCAGCAGGGCAAAUGUUGUCAGUCUGCGUCACCUUUUAGAUAAUUUAGGUAGAUUUACAUAAAGCACCUUGAGGUUGUUGUGAUUUGGUGCUAUAUAAAUAAUAUUGAAUUGAAUUUUAGAUCUCCCUCAUGUUUGGUCCUGGGGUCAUGCAGUGUAAUGUUCUCAGAGCUUUUCUGG